UCCUGGAUAGCCCAGUCAGUAGAGCAUGGGACUCUUAAUCUCAAGGUUCUGGGUUCAAGCCCCACAUCGGGCA